UUAUUUGUGUGUUUAUUUUUAUUUGUUUGCUUAUAAGUUAAAUGUUCUUAAAUAUAGAAACUUUAAUAAAACAUAAGUUUUUCAAAUUGAUUUGAAAAUGUUGCACUUUUUGACAAAAUACCAGUCAAAACAUCAGUAAUCGGUGGGCUAUCGGGAUCGGCAUCGGACCCAAAAAUCUGGCAUCGGUCGGGCUCUAUCUCAUCAUCAUCAAUCACUCUCUGUUCUUGCACAGCUAUAUUUCUCAUUACUUCAGUGGGGGUUUAACAUGAAUAUGGAUGUGACUAGACUUUUAAAUAUGCUCCCCCCACGUUUUGUAAGGAUGAUUUUUCGCUAAUGUUAUACCCGUUUCCUGCCGCUAUUAAUAAUGAUGCUGUUUUCUUGUUUGCAAUCGAUAACAAAAAAUUGUUUCAUAGCUGGCUAACUUAGCUAGCUUCUGUGUGUGGUAAACUAAAGUUAUUUUUUCUCUCUAACGGUGCGAUCCCAGCUCUAUCUAACUUUCAGUAGAUUGCUAUGAAACUGGUGAAGUUAGCUAGUAGCUGACUGCUCGACUAGUCAGUAACUUGCUGGUGGGAAUGUAACGUUAGAUUUGAUAGCUGCAACGCUAACUAGAAAUGCCUCUCAGGCGACAUAUUUAGCUCCAAAAUGUUUUGUAACAUUUUGACAUAGCUUUGACAAGCUAAUCAUUGAUUGGCGUGUAUCCGUGUCGAUGAAUGUUCCCAUUUGACUUGCAUUGUAGUUAAAAACAGUAGUUUAAAACACACAAAUUACCAGGUUAAAACAACACCUUACGCAAGGUAAACAAUUAGCCUGGAAGCUGUUUGCCUACCUGUGCCCGAAAGCGGAAAUGGGGGGUGUGGGCAAGGAAACUUGUCUAUACAGGAAAGCUGUGGUAUGGGGUGUGGUUAAAUGAGUCACUCAGAGGUGGACAUAUUGGCUUUGUAGUUUAGUGUUUUUUGUAGGCUAUGGUACCUACAGAUGUUAUUUUUAUUCCAUUCCCCAAGCCGAAGACAAACUUGGUGAUGGAUAAAACUGUCAAUACAGACAGCUAGCUACAUUUUCUCUAAAGUAGGCCUAACCCUAACCCUAACCCUAUUAAUAAUAACAUGGCUUGUCUAUUAACUGCAGUUAGCUGAGUGAUUAAAUCAAAUCAAAGGUUAUUUUUUAAAUUCACAAUGCAACAUAUCGGCAGUUGUUAUCUGUUAAUGAAAUGCUUAACUUUAGCUCACUUAACUUUGUCUGCAUAAUUGUGUAGAUAUGUAAAGGGAGCUAGCAGGUGGUGAAACAAUAAGAACAAUAAUGAACUAAUUAAGAAAAGUGGCUGCGUUUGUCAUCUCAUUGGUGGCUUGUUAUCUCUAAACUUAGCUGUUCAAUCGACUGCUGUGUCUUUUAUAUUAGAACGCAUGAUGGCCUACUGAGCAGGGUAAAGAUGGAAAAGCUUAGGUGUUGUUCACUGCCCUGUCUUUGGUUUAUGCUACAAAGUUUGAGAACUCUGUAAUUUGUUAUAAAUGUGUAUUCUAUUUUUAUAUGAAUUAUGAUGUUGAAACUGAACUUGAGAAAAUAAGUAUAACGUCUGUGUGUGUGUUUGUGUAUGUAUUAUGAUAUGUGUGACGUCACUGCAGUGGGGACAGGAGGAGCAGGAGCUGCAGCUGGUGAUCUGACUUGAUUUAUAUUCAACUCAUGUCAACUUAAUAGGGAAUCACUGUCAGUCCAAGGAGCUUCAUUUUAUAAGCUUUUUUUACUUUUUUUUAUGUUUACAUAGAACUAGUUUCUAUGACUAUGUCAUUGCUAUGUCAUUGCUCCACAGAACAUCAUAAUAAUAGCACAUUGAUAGCUAAUAACAUAAUUACAUCAUGUGGCUGAAUAUCCUUAUAUUUAGGGUAACUUCCAUUAGCUGGCUAGACAUUAAUGUAAUGUUAGCUACGUAGUCCACCUAAAUUACUAUCAGAGACGGCAUAAGAAAAAUAUAUUGUCUCUGUUACUAUCAAACGACCGUUUGCAAGGUUUUCCUCUUGACUAUUUAACGAUUUAAUUUCAUUUCUUAUCUUAGUAUUCCACUGUAUUCUUGAAUGCUGUCGCUGUCAUUGGAUUCUACCGUGAUGCAUUUAAAAUCUGCGUUGCCGUGUUUGAUUGGAAAGAAAUGGACGGGCAUGACGAGUCCUGAUUGGCAUUUAGCAGAUACUCUUAUCCAGCAAUGCAGGUUAAGUACCUUGCUCAAGGGUACAACGGCAGUGUCCUACCCAGGAAUCAAACCUAUGACCUUUACAAGCCCAGUUUCUUACCCACUAUGCUACACUGCCGCCACCUCAUCUCAUUUGUGAUCAUGUCAAACUUAACCUAAAUGCCCAUUCUGCAGAAAGCAUAUUGUUUAAACUGUUCAAUUAAAUAAUUUGUGGUCA